rnacentral:rRNA from 1 species
AACGUAGGAGACGAACGUUAUCCGGAGUUACUGGGCGUAAAGGGCGUGUAGGCGGUUUGUUAAGUCUGGCGUGAAAGCUCUCGGCUAAACCGGGAGAGGUCGUUGGAUACUGGCGAACUAGAGGAUGGUAGAGGCGUGUGGAAUUCCGGGUGUAGUGGUGAAAUGCGUAGAUAUCGAGAGGAACACCUGCGGCGAAGGCGGGUUGCUGGGCUGACACUGACGCUGAUGUGCGAAAGCUAGGGGAGCGAACGGG